AUGAGGCCAGAUGUCUGGAAAACGGGCCUGGGAGGCAGAUUGAUGCCAGGCCAUCGGGAGCCCCGCCACGGCUCUCCCUUUGUGGCUCUCGGCAUCUCUGAACCAUUCCCGAGCAGACGAGCGAGCGGAGAGGAUGGGCAUGGAGAGGACGGGCAUGGAGAGGACGGGCAUGGAGAGGAUGGCCGAGGAGAGGACGGACGUGGAGAGGACGGGCAUGGAGAGGACGGGCGGGGAGAGGACGGGCGGGGAGUGGACGGGCACAGAAGGGACGGGCGGGGAGAGGACGGGCGGGGAGUGGACGGGCACAGAAGGGAUGGGCAUGGAGAGGACGGGCGCAGAAGGGACAGGCACGGAGAAGAUGGCCGAGAAGAGGACGGGUGGGGAGAGGAUGGACGCAGAAGGGACGGGCAUGGAGAGGACGGGCACAGAAGGGACGGGCAUGGAGAGGACGGCAGAGGAGAGGACAGGCUGCAGAGGAAGGCCGAGGAGCCUUUCUGGCUCCGAUCUCCUUUCUUCUCAGCUCUAAGUUUUCCCCCUUCAAGCAAUCCUUUCCCAUAUUGCCUAUGGGUCGGGCAGCACCCUGCGGAGGGCCUUUGCCCAGGGAGGAACUCCCUGUGCUGCGGCCACCGGCCAGAAAGGAGGGCCUCAGCCCCUGGCCGCUCCCAGGCUCCUGCCCUACCCUGGGAGACCUUAACGUGUGCAGACUUACACCGAGGACUUUGGCAGCUACCAGACUGGCGGGACACUUCCCAGCUGUGUGACCCUGGACAAGUCACUUCACCCCCACGGCCUGGCCCUUCCCACUCUUGUGCCUUGGAACCAAGACCCAGGAUGGACUCUAAGACAGAAGGAGGCCCCACAAAGACCUCCCAGCUUGGCCCCAGGAAGAGACUCUGUUGCCCAGCUGAAGCAGAAUCUCUUUGUAUGGAAGGCAUGACUUGUUGACUUUGCAAGGGAAAGAGCAUUCCUUUGGAGCCACUGUUGACUGAGAGCUAACACUGGCCUUGGCCCAAAAGGCUUUGGUGUAGACAAGUGCACUGAUUAGGCCCUGAGAGCCCUGCUGGGCAGCCUCUGGGAAGUCACGGCGGGACUCCUGGGCUCAGCGUCCUGGUGUCAAAGAAGAGGGGGUCAAGGAGCACCUGAACUUCCUCCUUUCCACCUCCCAAGCCCCGUCCUGUCCUCCCGGGGCUCCCCUCAGGAAGCCAAGUACCCCUGGGGCCCAGAGGCUAAUGGGGGACCAGGGGGUCACCUUUCCACUGUUGUUAGGAUGGAGAUUGCUGCAUGGGAAGGGGAUGGAUGGAGAGAAAAUGAGCGCUUGCUCACUUUUUAGACAAGAAAAUGAAAAUGAAACCAAAAUUAAUAAAACAAGGGGAUUGACUUGGUGUUUCUAAGGU
rnacentral:lncRNA from 1 species